UACGUAGGGGGCAAGCGUUAUCCGGAUUUACUGGGUGUAAAGGGAGCGUAGACGGCUGUGCAAGUCUGAAGUGAAACCCCGCGGCUCAACUGCGGGCUUGCUUUGGAAACUGUGCAGCUGGAGUACCGGAGGGGUAAGCGGAAUUCCUGGUGUAGCGGUGAAAUGCGUAGAUAUCAGGAGGAACACCGGUGGCGAAGGCGGCUUACUGGACGGCAACUGACGUUGAGGCUCGAAAGCGUGUGGAGCAAAC
rnacentral:rRNA from 1 species